rnacentral:tRNA from 1 species
UCCCUAGCGGUCCAGUGGUUAAGACUCGGUGCUUUCACUGCUGGGGCCUGGGUUCAAUCCCUGGUUGGGGAA